GGAAUUUAGACCGCAGACAAGGAUUCUUGCAGGAACACUAAGUUUCCUGCCCUGUGGGAGGUCCGAAGCAAACCUCUGGGACCAGACUGCCUUCAAAGGCUGAGCUCUGAGUUUCCUUUAAUACCUGGCAUCUUUGGUCUCUUUUGCGGAAGUCUAAGUUCUCUCGAAGAAAAUCCUCGCUUACCAGAGGUUCAGCUUUAUGGAUGACUGAACAGUGGAGGUACUCUGAGCCUGGUGCUUAGUGAUUUCGCCCACACUGCUGCAAUGGAGUCACUAGGCUGUAGGGGGAGCUCCUGCCUCCUUGGUGAAUUCCGAAGGCUUGGAAGCUGCUUCCAAAAGCAUUUAAUAGGUGGCAGGGCCUCAGAGGCCCACAGCUGUCCCCUGUCAGAAACGCCCUUUGCUGCUCUGCUCUCUUGGAGAAUUCCAUUUCUUUCAUGUUGGGCUAAAGCAGCCUGAGACGUCUUAAGAUGUGUAAUCAGCCAUCAGCCUGCUGCCAUUUUUCACCAAGAUGGACUAUAUCCUUGAACUGUGAGCCAAGGUGGUCCUUUCCUUCUCAAGUUGCUUCAGUCAGGUUUCCUUGCUAUAUACAGUCACUAAAGGGUUGUCUUUUUUUUUUAAGCCCCUGAGCAUUUUCCUUAGACUCUUUUUGUGCAGUAUUACCAACACAUAUAAAGGGCUAAGAUUAAUAGCCAACUUUAGCUGAGAUCCUAAGGUUUGCAAAAUAAUGAACAAUACACCUAACUUCCACCUACAGUAAGUUCCUUAUUCUGGUCAAGUUAUUGUAUUGUUAUGCACUUGUGCCUAUUAAGAAUACUUCCUUCCAGUCUUUGUCAUAGCAAGAUACUCAAAGCUCCAGGUGAUGGAACAUAGCUAAUCAUGGCAAUCAUGCUGCUGGGUUUCCUAGACUCCCUUGCAGCUAGAAAUGACACAGUGAGAAUUGUGCUUGGAAGGAUUCUGUUUCCCUCACAAAAGAUGUCGCUGAAUGACUUGGCUCUGUUUUUCUAAUUAGCUUCAUUCUAUGUUAGAUACUGGCAUAUACCUGAGUCUGAAAAAUAAUAUUGGAAUAGUGAGAAACAGCAGUCAGUGGAAAAGGAAAGAUAUAAGCUCUACUAUUAUUGAGUUAUUGAAACACCACUAGAAGCUGAUUAAUUCUUAAAUAAGAAAGAUAUGCUCUUGUAAGUCAGGGCUUCCUUACUUUAAUCCACUCACACUCUCAUAGAAUAACAGCUGUCCUGCCACUAAGUUCUUUCCUAUGGCUUCUAGUUUUGCUUCCAUGCACUCCAAUAUGAUUUUGUCCCUUCUGGCCCAUACUAUGAAGGAAAAUGACAGAUAAUGAGUUAAUGUGACUCUCGAUGUAGAGGAGACAAACACCUGGUCAUUUUUGUCUCUAAAUCUGGCUUCAUAAAUAGCUUAGUUGAAGGAAAACUGGGUUUACCUUCUGUAAAUUUAAGAAUGGCCGCCAUGCACCUACCUGGCACUGCAUUGCUGUUUUCUAGUCCAGAUUUAAUGACUUUCCCUGCAAUUAAGCAAGUUCACAUUUGGAGGCCGAGUCUUCAUCAAGGAAGACCUCUCCCUUGAAAACUCCUAGGUUCUCAGAAUGGAUUUUCUCUUUCUUAAAAUUACAAAAUGUGGGUUCAGAAAUAGCCUUGGAAGUCAUCUAGGUCAAUCUCACACUUUACAUAAAUUAAAAUUCAAAUCAGGCUACCUGUUCUUUAAAAAAUGCCUGGAAGGGAGAUAUCACAGUUGUCGUUGGCAGGAUUUGAUCAAACUUGCAGCCAGUAGUCUUCUACUUGGCCUAAUUGAACCACCUUAAUUCAAUUAAAAACAUAAAAAUAGAAAAGGAAUGGGGAAAAAUCCAGAGUGCUGUUUAUUUUUUUCAAAAUAAUAUUUGAUGGACCUGCAGAUAAUGAACAAUUCUAUCAGUUUGCUUCUCUUUCUGUGAUGGAACGCAUCCAAAUAAGAAUUUUACUAGAAUCUUCAUUUCCCGUCUUUCCAGUUUCUUCUUUUAGAGUUAAAUUCAGGGAGUGUGGUAAAGCUUGGCCUUACCCUCUGGGGUACUCAUUUUAAUGUCCUUCUUAUCUCAUCUGUGGCCCUUUCUCUUCCUCACGGCCACACGUACAUGAGCAGAUGUCUUGCUUGGUCUUUAGCAACACCCAGCUCACCCAACCCUCAAGGAGAGGAAGCAGGUCCCACUGCAAGUCCAAAUACUCCCUGUGGCUGCCACACUCUGCCUUCGUCUGGGUUGAGCUCCUCUCCUUUAAUGACUUCCUUGGCUAUUUGGCCUACUCUCUUAAAACUAGAUAUUUAAAGAUUGUUACAAUCCAAACUAGACAUGGGGCUGAACUCUGAAGAAAGUAUAAGCACAAUAAUUUGUUUCCUUUUUCUGAUUUUACAGUAUUUUCCCCCAUCAGUCCCUGUGCUCCCAUUCACUGGCCUUGGUGUAGUCAGAGAGGAAGAGAACCUAAAAGUAGGCCUCUUUUCAGAAUUCAGUGGAAGGUGAGCCAGUGGUAUGAUCGGGACCCCCCCCCCCUUUCUGGGUCUGUCUGUCUGUAUCUGUCUCUUUUGCCUCCACUCCCCAUGAUCUGCUGUAUCUUCAGAGACUUUUAUGACCUCAGCCUUUGAAGAGGAGAGCUGCAUCCAGGGAUAGCUGGCCACUGCUCUCUGAGCCACAGCACCAUGCUACCAUGCUACCAUGCUACCAUCCUCUGUUAUUCCCAGACCAAGAAUAUACCAGAUAGAAGAAGGAGAAGAAGGAGAAGAAGGAGAAGAAGGAGAAGGAGAAGGAGAAGGAGAAGGAGAAGGAGAAGGAGAAGGA
ensembl:lincRNA Gm37896 predicted gene, 37896